rnacentral:misc_RNA from 1 species
GAUGAAGAACGUAGCGAAAUGCGAUACGUAAUGUGAAUUGCAGAAUUCAGUGAAUCAUCGAAUCUUUGAACGCAUAUUGCGCUCUCUGGUAUUCCGGAGAGCAUGCUUGUUUGAGUAUCAGUAAACACCUCAACUCCCUUUUCUUUUUUGAAAUUGGAGCUGGACUUGAGUGAUCCCAACGCUUUCUUCCAAGAAAGUGGCGGGUUGCUUGAAAUGCAGGUGCAGCUGAACUAUUCUCUGAGCUAUAAGCAUAUCUAUUUAGUCUGCCUAAAAAACAGAUUAUUACCUUUGCUGCAGCUAACAUAAAGGAGACUAGUUCUUGUGCUGACUGAUGCAGGAUUCACAGAGACAGCUUCGGCUGACUUUGUAAACUCGAUCUCAAAUCAAGUAAGACUACCCGCUGAACUUAAGCAUAUCAAUAAGCGGAGGA